CGGGAGAAAAUGCAAACUCCACACAGGGAGGCCGGAGCUGGAAUCGAACCCGGUACCGCUGCACUGUGAAGUCGACGUGCUAACCACUGGACUACCGGGCCAUUAUUUCCGUGCACUUUGGCCUUCAAGAAGUACGACUGCAAUCGGCUAUUCAUCACAGCAGUUCUAAAGCCAGCCGAAUGGAUAUGAAAGUGCGAUCAAUUGGCCAGGAAAGGGAGAUUAAAGAUGGAUGAGUCACCUUAGUCCUCCUUCUUGACAACCGUGGCAUGCCUUGCAGCCUCUCAAGAAAGGGUCGCAGGGGGUGCUUGGAGCCUAUCCCAGCCAUCUUCGGAUGGUCGGCGGUGGACACUGGAGUACCCGGAGAAAACCCAGGCAGGCACAGGGAGAACAUGCAAAAACUUCACAGGGAGGCUGGAGUUUGACUUGAACAUGCGAGGUCGACGCACUAACCACUAAAUCACCGAGCCAGAUUAUAAAUUCUACAUCAUAAUAUCUUCGUGUCUGACUUCAGAGGGUAAAUUAACAUUUUCGUCUUCCUUCCACAAGAUAAAAUCUAAAAUUGGCUGGCAUUCUUUGAGUGAAAGUACCGAUGCAUGGUUGAGCAAUUAAAUAUAUAUGUAAUCCUGCUGCUGCAUAACAGAAGCAAUUUGUAACAUCUCUCCGCUUUCAUUUUUUGCGUGUGCUGUGGUGGUUAUCCAGCCCCCCCCCCCCCCCUUCAGCAUUGUUAGUCACCGUGUUUAUCGGUUCCAGCAGCUGCGGCGUACUGGACAUCAUCUGAAAGUGCAAAUGACAGGAUGCAAUACACCGGAGAAUAGCAGCAAUCUGAGGGAAGUUCUCCAUUCAACAGAGAUCCCUAACUCUCUGUCUUCUUAUCCUGAGCAGAAAAUAAAAAAAUCAAUAGGGGCUCACUGGGCUUGAUAGAAGUUGAGUGCCGAGAGAGCUUCUAUUCUCACUGUAGUACAUUUCAGCGAAAAAAAAAAUCCAGAUGCCUAUAUGAACUAACAAAUCUGUCUCCGCAAAUGUCCAUCAUCUUCUAGAAAUUAACUAAAUUAUUUUUUAAAAAAUUAUUUUUGUCAAUUAAAGUUUAUAAUGUCACAUUUUUGCAUUGCUAAGUUUGAAAAAGAAAUAGUACCCAAAAAGCCAAUGGAUUUUGCGCCCAGCUACCCCAAACUAUAUCUCAUCCAUGGUCUCUUGUGAAGGUAUCUCAACUCUUAGUCGACUUUUGACAUCAUACCAUACUGUUGUGGAUGUGAUUGAAAAUUUAAAAAAGGGUUCUUGUUUCUUUUGAAACAGUAAAUCUUGGAACUCUUCAAAAAAGCUUCUGUCCAUGCACCAAGAAUUAAGUCAAAAUUGACUCCAUUGGAUUAUUUUGUUUUUUGUUAUUGUAAAGUGUCCUUGGGUGUCUUGAAAGGCGCUUAUAAAUAAAAUGUAUUAUUAUUAUUAUUAUUAUUAUUAUUAUUUACACGUGUGUGUGUGUGUGUGUGUGUGUGUGUGUGUGUGUGUGUGUGUGUGUGUGUGUGUGUGUGUGUGUGUGUGUGUGUGUGUGUGUGUGUGUGUGUGUGAGU